UACGAAGGGGGCUAGCGUUGUUCGGAUUUACUGGGCGUAAAGCGCACGUAGGCGGAUCGUUAAGUCGGGGGUGAAAUCCUGGAGCUCAACUCCAGAACUGCCUUCGAUACUGGCGAUCUUUGAGUCCGGAAGAGGUGAGUGGAACUCCUAGUGUAGAGGUGGAAUUCGUAGAUAUUAGGAAGAACACCGGUGGCGAAGGCGGCGACCUGGUCCGAUACUGACGCUGAGGCGCGAAAGCGUGGGGAGCAAAC
rnacentral:rRNA from 1 species